rnacentral:lncRNA from 1 species
GCAGGACACACACAUCUUCAACAUUUCUAGAGUCUGGACGUCUGAGAUCAGGGUGCCAGCACUGUCGAGGUCACAGACUGCAGACCUCCUUGUAUCUUCAAAUGGAGGAAAGAGGACAAGAGAGCUCCUGUGGUCCCUUUUAUCAAGAUGAAUGCACAAGGAAAAUGUUGUACAUUUGCACAUUGGAGUACACUUCAGCCAUAAAAAGAAUGAGAUGCUGUCAUUUGCAACAACAGAGUUGUGCAGUCAUCAGUUAUCUUCAUGGGACGAGUAUGUCCGGAGGGGAGGAAAAUCUGAUAAAAAAUAUUGAAAUUCAAUGAAGGCUUCCACUGCUUAACAAAUGUUACAUAGAAUUCUUCACCGAUGUGAGGAACAUCAGUUUGCAAAAGAAACUCUGCACUUUCAGGGAUAAAAAGACUGAGACUCCAAAUGGUGCUCCUAGUAUUGGUGAAGCUUAGGGAGAGAGCCCAUUGUGUUUCUAUCUAACUGCUCUCAGGAAAAGGUAGAAAAUGUCUCAGAUUCCACAAGAAAGAUAGAAUGUGUGAUAAGAUGACAAUCAGGCCACAACAGAAUAUCCUAGUAGGGUACAUAAAUUAGCAUCAACAUGGACCAAUUAGCAAGGAAGUGUCUUCAUAAUAUUCCCGUAAUUAGACUCUCAUUAGCUUGAUAUUUGAUGCUGGACUAACCCUAUUUGAAUGAUAUAAGCACUGGUACUUAGAAUUUUCAGAGACUGGUGCCCCUAAUGGAAAAAUGCAGGAUGAAAUGCUAGUGAAGAUUAACUGGGAGAAAAAUAGGUAAAUGUGAAAAAGAAAACGUGUGUCUGACUGUAUACAGAGUUCUAAUUGUAAAAAAUUAAUCGAAUGUAUAAAAUAUCGACAG